UUGGAAAUGUAGGGGAGCCGGUAGUGCCGGCUGAGAUAGUAUCCAUAGAUGCUGACCCUUUAACCUGAUCUGGUUCGUACCAGCGUAGGGAACAUCUUCUGAUAGACG
rfam:Bacillus selenatarsenatis SF-1 DNA, contig: BSSF00134.